UCGGCAGUGCAGUGUAUCGUGCUUGUCUUUAGGUUGGGUUUUUGGUGAUCUUCAGGAUGGUUUCUCAGAGAGUUAUUGUGGGUUUUCUUCUGAUUGUGCUGGUCUCUAAUGUGUUGGGGUCUCUGGCUGAGCGUGAGCAGGCACGUGCAGAAGGGUUCACCCUAUCAUGGCUCAGCAGAAACUACAGAGGUUUGAACACUUUCACCCUUCACUGGUAACUGGCUGUUUGAAGGCAUGUGUGCCCAAUCCUGGUCCUAGAGACCUCCCACCCUGAUCUAUCACACCUGAUCCAGGUAAGGCAGGC